rnacentral:lncRNA from 1 species
ACUUGGUGGAGUUUGUUGUCAUGUAGGAGUCGUACUUUAUAGUGUAAUAACUGCUAAAACACUACCAUGUACAGCGAAACAGAACGUGUGGUUAGACACAUAUCCAAGACGAGCGGUGGCUUUAAUAAACAAAAUUGGCGAUCUGAACACGUCACGGAAAUGAGAGGAAAAAACAGAAACUGAAAAGACAUUAAUUCAGCAAAGAAAGAUUGUUAACAGCAACAACGUUCCAGAAAUGACCACCAAUUGUUAGUUCUCGAUAGUUAUGCCGAUAACUUCAAACCACCGACACUCCCGUUGGCAUUGUCAGAAAUAUUCAACGCUGCAUUCUACCAAAAACCAUACACUGAUGUUAUACAAGAAUGCGAGAGACUUGUUAAAAUUCAAUCAUUUUUUGUCUCUCAAAUUCAAUCAGAUGAUGUCGCAAGAUCACCAUCAGACAGCAUAAGACACCACUGUGGAACCGUUAUCGUGCCGGGCUAAGCACGGCCUCAAAUUCGUAUGCAAUUUGCCAUACCAACUUAGAGAUUCCCUCAGUCGCUGUUGAAGAAAAUUUGCUAUCCAGCUAAACACCAUUUCUCCACAGAAGCUACGCGCUAUGGUAUAGAAAAUGAGUCGAGGUGCAUCAAAAAAGGUUGUGAUUUCCUACAGAAAAACAAAGUGCAUGUCGGGUUCACAAUUGUUAAAUGCGGUCUAAUUCUUUCAACGACGUGUUGGAACGGGGGCCACACCAGACGGUUUAUUUCAUUGUGACUGUCAUUGGAAUGGCGUUGUCGAGGUUAAAUGUUCGUGGAAGCAUAAGGACGAAUCAUCUUUGAUUGACGUUGCUAAAAAACAAUGAUUUCUUCUUAAUGCAUGACAAUGAAACAAGCGCAUUGUCAAUGGAAAAAAAAACACCCUUAUUAUUUCCAGGUACAACACCAAAGGAUGGUGACCAAUCGUAAUUUCUGCAUUUUUAUGGCGUUCAUUGAAUCGGACGUAGCUGUUAUUUUAGUUCCCAUUGAUGCAAAGGUUGUUGAAGUUAUUAAAUCAAAGACCUGUAUGUAGCCUACAUGAAAAACAUCAUUCUCCCACCAUUGCCCUGUGAACACUUCUUAAGGAUUGAAGUCAUUACUACUAUAUCUACUACUGCUACCCUAUCUCACUUCGUCGACGUCUAUCCCCAUCGUCGGAUGUAGUCUUAGUGAAUACUGCUCUACAGGGAACUGCAGAAGGAGUUGAUAUUUUGACCAUAUCAGCAAAUUCAUCAAACUACAAGACGUGCUGCUAAGAUCCAUUAAAAUCAAAUGAAGACAGCAGUUUGUGCAAACAUUGACUUCAUUAUAAGUGUUUAUCAUAAGUGUUGUGUAAAGCCUCCGCGAAAAAAGGUUUGGACGAAAUUGAAUUUGCAAAAAUUGUGUGACAGAAGAAAAGAAGAAGAACAAAGAAUCUGAAAAUGUUGUCCCAGUAGAAAAAUCAAAACAAGAUCAGUGUAAAAGGAAACCGCUACAGUCAUGAAACAUUUGAGUCAAAAAUAUUAUUUGUUUUCUCACGUAAAUUCCGUUCAUGUUACUCCUAAAA